GUUGUGGCUCAGUGGUAGAGCACUUGCCUAGCAUGUGUGAGGCCCUGGGUUCAAUCCUCAGCACAACA
rnacentral:tRNA from 1 species